AAAAACCCUGAACUCUUCUGCCUUUGUGGCUUUGUUGGAGUUGGCACAGAAUAUGUCCCGCACCAGAGCCAAGUGGUGCUGGGAGGUGGAGUAGGAAACUGUGAAUUUCCCCACAAUGGCUCACCCAGGCCCAAUUUUCUCAUUAACCCUUCUUACUGGACACCUUUACCUAUGAACUCUCUUAAAUUCAGUAGCUCACACAGCAGAUAUUUAAAGCCCUUUUGUGCAGCUGGCUUAGUUCGUAGCCACGGUGACCCAGUGGCUAUUUAUUAUUAUUUUAUUUUAUUUUUUCUAGAGCCAUGAAGUCAGUCUUUAUUCACAUUUUCACAGAGCUGAGUGCUACAGAUUUAUUUUCUUUUCCUUUUACAUCAUUUUUUUUCUCCCUCACUCCAGAUUCUCUUGCAGACAGCAUCCUGAGUGACAUAACGCUGCCACGAGGUGAGGAUCUUACACACAGCUGCGUGCACUCUGCACUGUAAUGCAGCCCCGCUGUCAACAGACUGCAGUGUCUGCUCAGGUUCGGGCCGUGUGGUUACACUGCACAGCCCUUAGAAAUAAAGAAAAUUAUAAAGAAAGAAAGAAAGAUGUGAAAUAGUGUGCCUGACUGGGAUUUUUGCCAGGGCAUUACCAGCAUAAUCACAAAAUGGCCCCAUGAAGAUGCUGGUGAGCGUAACCUGGUUGGGAGUGCUGUCCUGCUCAAGUAUUCUAAAUUAGUGACUGAAGGUUUCGAGACGUGAGGAAUUUGGGCCUAAAAGAUGAUUUUUAGAAAGUUAUAACUGCCGAAUGAGAGUGCUUAGGGGGAAAUUGUCGCCUCAGUUUGUGCUUGAUGGCAACAACUUAGUUACCCGUGAGGUUCCUACAAGGGAUGGCACCUAAUUUUUGCAGGAGAACAGCAGAAUGUGUCCUUUAAAACCUCAUUUUGGUAGAACCGACCUCUUUUUAGGCUCAAAUUAGUGAGGAUUUAUAUAGGAAAAAAAGUUAUUGCGAGAGGUGAACUGGGAAGGAAGUAAUAAAAAUAAUGUGGUAAAAAUCACAUUUCUUACAACCGACACAAGCUUAGCAAACAGAAGGAUUAUUGACAUAGUACGGAGGUUUAGAGAUUGAUAUUCUAUUUCCAUCCCCGAUGCAUUUUCUGUUUAAAAUUAAAUUUUGAUUCGCCUGCGGUUGAUUUGAUUUGAAACCAGCUUAGGAAAAAAAAACCAACUUUGACUUUGUAAAUAGAAACCCAGCUGGUUCAGGUGCUAACCACAGCCAUGAACGGAGAGGAUCUUUUCUUUUGGAAACAAAAUUUCUCCGUUCUUCUCAGGUGAAAGGAUGGCCUGGUGGUGAAUCUCUCUGCACAAAAUGAAAAUUGGGCUGAAUCUGAUGAACUGGAAAAUAAACGGGCUUCAUCCUGAGUGCCCAGAGGCCUGCAGCGUGUUAGGCUCCUCGCAUUAAGCCCAGUGGUGACCCCCACAUGAAAACACUUUAUAGAGGCUUCGAAUACCAUCACGGGAGAUGGGGAAGAAAGACAUUCAGAUCCCAAUUCACCUUUUUUUAUAGAUAUAGGAAGAAUUCAGAGCAUCAGGCUACAGGAACAUACCCGUUGCUAUGGGGGUGGGAGUAGGCCUCGAGGCCCUGCUCUUGCGCUGAAGCGAGGCACCACAGAGCAGGAGCCCGCUCCAGCGUGAGGUACCAAAAGGAUUAUAACUCAUUGCCUCGUGGUUAAAACACCACAAAAAAAAGCAUCCCUGCCUUCUGGCUUCGUCCUUCAUGUUGAUGUUUGCUGGAGGGCAGUCCCUGAAGAACAUGCGUGGACUCACCUCAGCCAAAUCGGGGCUGGAAACCUGGCUUAUUUUACUUCGUGCUUUCUGGCAGGCUCAGGAGUUUAAUUUUUUCCCUGUCUAUGGUUCUGGCUUUAGAGAUGAGAUCCAGGAGAUGCCUCCCAGAGCAGGCUGGAGCUGCUUUACAGCUCAGGGGCUCUCAGCUUUCCCUCCACAUCAUGCAGGAGCUCAGCUGCCUGCCGCAGGCUUGGGUUUCCACUCCGGGGGCCCAAGCCUUUGGAAGUUAUUAAAAAGAUUUUGAUCAUUCCUGGCCCUGACGGCUUUGCAGCCAAAAAUCCGGGGAGAUAAUAGGUGAACAAACUGUUCUCUGCAGUAAAGCUCCUGCUUCCUUUCGUGUCCCACUGCACACACGCACAGCAAACAACCAGGACAGCGAGGAGGGUUACCAGGGGAUGCUGUGCCUGCAGGGCGUUUAAUAUUGUAUGAAAACCCUCCGUUCCCCAUCGUAUUUUGCAGCAGAAGACAUUCAGGGCUUUUAUCCAUUCCCUUAUAUUCCUCCAAAUAUUAUUCUUGACAGUUAUGCCUAGUUUAAGUCUAAAAGAUUUAGCAGUGAAUCUUUAAUAUUAUUUAAGCAGAUUACUCAAUUUCAAUCGUAAAAUCAAAAUCAAUGCAAAGGAUAAAUCCUAGAACUGAGACUAAACUCAUAUAUAAUUCCAUGUAGUCCUGGGACAUUGGUAGAAAUAGGAUCUGCGUGAACCCAGGAGGAAAUGCAAGGACGCGAGGUCUUUACAGGAGCAAUUUGCAUCGGUACCACUUGAUCCAAAGCCAGGCUGCAGUUUAGCUGCCAUCAUCUCUACCUGUACUAACACACAUUUCACUAGAGGAUGCUCCUUUUCAGCAGGUUGUGUGCUGGAAGUUCUGGGUUACGAGCUUCACGGAAGAAAUGAGCGGAUUUUAUUUGCAGAUGGAAAUGAUACACGUUGAGAGAGAGAUCAUCUCCUGGCAGUACCUGAGGUGGCUAUACCAGCUCUGCGUGGCCAUGCUGAGAUUCAUUAGAUACUUUCCUGUAAAACAACCUGCAAACCCUUUGAACCAAAGGUGCUGCUGUGCAUCAAAGCUGAAUUGUUAAGAUAUCUGCUGGAAUGGGGAUGGUUUGCUGCGACUGCCAUCAGAAAUGUCUGCAACCAUUACCGAACGUGCUUACGUGCUUCCUUAUGGGUGACAUCAAUUCCUUGCUGCGCUGGAGUUAAAUAGGUGCUGGCUAAUGAGUUAUUGAUCAUUUGAUGGAAAGUGAGGGGUUGAAGAGACUGACAUCGUGGAAGGAUAACCCUCUGCCUGCUGAAUUCACAUAGCCAUCACUCACAGGGUUAUCAAAGUCAGAUAUCAAAAAAAACCUUCCUGGGUCAUUUAAUCUGCCUGCCCAUAUAUAAAUAUGGCUGGUCCAGGAAAAGGAUAAAAAAAUGUUUGUAAAGUUGAAAUGUUCCAUGUGAAUACGUAUGUUUGGAGGAAGAAAUGAAUAAAUACGCAAAACUGAAAGGAAAUGGUUAUAUUUGACUUUCUCGUUCUGUUUUCCAUUCCAACUUUUGUUUUGUUACUACACUGACCUUGUAAAAAUGAGUAUGUUGAUUUCACAGAAAAACCUAAUUUUCAUUCUGUCGUUGCAGUGCUCUGAAUUCGGGUGGUUUGCAAUCUGCAUUAUGACAAUCUUAUUUCACCUUUGGAAAAAAAAAUAAAAAAUAAAGCGCAGGAGUGCAGCACA